UUGUGCUUGUAGGUAGAUGACGUCAGACGUUUCCUAGGAAAGUAAAUGCGAUUGUCAAGGUGUUCAACCUUUGUACUCAAACCAAAUGUCGCUUUCUAUCCAACAUUAGUUGUUUAAUUGUUGGAAUUGCUAGACAUUUUGGUCUACACAGACUUCAUAAAAGAUCGUGGAUCAACGAUGCAAGUGUAGGUGGGACUCCUGAUCCAGAGAGAACAUGUUUCGACGAAGGAUACCCUUUGCACAGAUAGCCUUUGCCACUGUGCUAGGAGUUGCUGGGGGAGUUUAUAUACAGUGGGGAGAACAAGUAUUUGAUACACUGCCGAUUUUGCAGGUUUUCCUACUUACAAAGCAUGUAGAGGUCUGUCAUUUUUAUCAUAGGUACACUUCAACUGUGAGAGACGGUAUCUAAAACAAAAAUCCAGAAAAUCACAUUGUAUGAUU